rnacentral:lncRNA from 1 species
GCUUGGAACAGCGCCGGCUGCGCGGCAUCGUCUGUUACCCUUCUGCCGGCAGAUGCAAGCCUCGGGCGAGAAAGGCCACAGCUCCCCACCUGUGAAAACCAACUCUUGUUUCCAUGAAAAGAGUUUUUAAAAAAGAUCAGCAACUGAGAACAGAAAGGAGGAAACCAAGGCACAGCCAGGAGAAAUGACUUGCCCAGCUCAACAACCAGUGAGGAGAGGUAUCAGGAUUCAAACCAGGCAGUGUGGCUCCAGAGUCCAUGGCCUUUAUCACUGCCCCCUACCCUUUGGCAAGCUCCACUUUUGAUAGCGCUGAUGUGAUAGCAGACAACGUGUAAUUGCCAAACUUUAGUCAUCAGCACGCUAGCUUUGAAUGGAAACACAAGGGGAGUUUCCGAGCUCUGAGAAGUUUCUCUACAGCUUCUGAGGUGAGGAUCCACCCUGCAUGAAGGAUACUGGGCCACUCAGGCCUUCUCCCACUCCGCGGCAGGAUCCUAGCGCCUGAGGACACUGGAGCCAUUCCAGCAACAAAUGGUAAGCAAGAUGGCCAGGAAGGAUGACUGACUCCCUCGCAGGCUCGGCCAGGCUUCAGGCCCUAUCUUUGGAUCUGUGUUCAUCAUGGUGAUUGUCA